GGCUACUAACAAAGUUCUACGCUAUCUUGGAGAGAAUGACUACAUCAACUAUGGAUUUUGGUGGUGCUCUCUCCUCUUUUCUGUUUUCUGGAUGAGCAAGCUUCAGUAAGAAGCUAUCGUCGAACCAGCUUGGGUUUCUCAGGAUAUCGUCGAUGAAACUCCUGUACCUUUUGCGGCGCAUUCGCGAGAUUUUUGGCCG
rnacentral:lncRNA from 1 species